UACAGAGGAUGCAAGCGUUAUCCGGAAUGAUUGGGCGUAAAGCGUCUGUAGGUGGCUUUUUAAGUCCGCCGUCAAAUCCCAGGGCUCAACUCUGGACAGGCGGUGGAAACUACCAAGCUGGAGUACGGUAGGGGCAGAGGGAAUUUCCGGUGGAGCGGUGAAAUGCGCAGAUAUCAGGAGGAACACCAAUAGCGAAGGCAGCUCGCUGGGACGGUACUGACGCUGAGGCGCGAAAGCGUGGGGAGCAAACAGG
rnacentral:rRNA from 1 species